AGAGUGUUGGGUUAAGUCCCGCAACGAGCGCAACCCCUAUCUUUAGUUGCCAUCAUUGAGUUGGGCACUCUAAAGAGACUGCCGGUGUCAAACCGGAGGAAGGUGGGGAUGACGUCAAGUCCUCAUGGCCUUUAUGACCAGGGCUACACACGUACUACAAUGGCCGGUACAAAGGGCAGCGACACAGCGAUGUGAAGCCAAUCCCGAAAAGCCGGUCUCAGUCCGGAUUGGAGUCCGCAACUCGACUCCAUGAAGUUGGAAUCGCUAGUAAUCGCGGAUCAGCACGCCGCGGUGAAUACGUUCCCGGGCCUU
rnacentral:rRNA from 1 species